rnacentral:snRNA from 1 species
AACCUUGCGCAGUGGCAAUAUCGUAACCAAUGAAGGUCUCCUGAACUUGCGAUUAUUGCUAGUUGAAAACUAGGCCUGCGAAGCUAAUAUGUAUUGUGGUACUGGGUUCAAUUCC